rnacentral:rRNA from 1 species
UGCGUAGGCGGCUUUUUGAGUCGGAUGUGAAAUCCCUGAGCUUAACUUAGGAAUUGCAUUCGAUACUGGGAAGCUAGGGUAUGGGAGAGGAUGGUAGAAUUCCAGGUGUAGCGGUGAAAUGCGUAGAGAUCUGGAGGAAUACCGAUGGCGAAGGCAGCCAUCUGGCCUAAUACUGACGCUGAGGUACGAAAGCAUGGGAAGCAAACA